rnacentral:misc_RNA from 1 species
GAUUUGAGCCUAGCAUGAGAAAUAAAAUUUGUGUUUCAAAACUUCUUUCAUUAGUUUUCUUUUUUUUUUAUUUUUUUUAGACUAUGACAAAUCUGGCAUGUCCCAUAGAUUUGAUUUAAGGUGUAUUUGUAAAUUUUGAAUUUUUUAAGUAGAAGGCCUUAGUAAUUAUAUAAUCAUUCUUCAAAAAGUAUUGAUUCUUUAGA